rnacentral:tRNA from 1 species
GCCCCGAUAGCUAUCGGGGCGGUAGACGCGCUGGUCUCAAACACCUGUGGCUGCAAGGCCGUGUCGGUUCGACCCCGGCUCUGGGUACAA